GCCUAACUAGCUCAGUCAGUAGAGCAUGUGACUCUUGAUCUCAGGGUUAUGGGUCUGAGCCACAUGUUGGGUA
rnacentral:tRNA from 1 species